GGUGCGGGAAACUACUCCCCCCCCCCCCCCGACAAAUUCUGCCUCCUGCUGCCAUUGGGUGCCGGAUGGAGGUGGGGGUGGGGCGGUGCUCCUCGGGCCUCGGUCCUCGGACCUGUCACACAGGAUGAACAGUUAGCAACUUGCUCCACUACCCACCCACAGGUGGCAGAUGAGUAUCCUUGGGGAAAGCGGGUGGCAUGAAACCAUUUCCAGACCUCUAGGGACACUGGAAUAGCCUGGUCCCAGCACAUUUCCAAGAAGAACACACACACACACACACACACACACACACACACACACACCUCACAGCCUUUGGGUGGCCAAGGUUGGGAAGGGUAGUCUGAGAAAUCCUGGAAAGCUUGACUUGAAAGGUGAGGAUUCAGUUUUCUAAAUGGAGCCACAGCCAUCCUGCCCUCUGACCUUCACAGCAUUGGUACACCCAGAAGGACACCUCCAUCCCCAGCACCAAAGUCCCUGUCAGACUUGGGAUGCAAGAAUCGAGCCCCAACAACACCUGGGUCAGGCCUGUUGGCCUUGAUGACCACCUGAGUCAUCAAACCUCUCCAAAUCCUUCUGUAAGUAAGCAGAGCUAGCCACCUCCAGGAAGUGGAGGAAAUGGUGACCUCAGGUGAACAUUCAUGUUCAAAAGCUCCUGUCCAGAAGGCCCCACCCCCUUUUUUUUUCCCUUAAAAAUUACAUUGUAUUUAUUUAUUUGAGGAGAGGGAUACACAUGAAGGCCAGAGAACAGCUUUUGAGAAUCACUUCUCCCCUUGUAUCAAUGUAGGUCCUUCCAGGGGAUUGAUCCUCAGGCUUGGCAGCAGAAGCCUUUCCCAAAGAUGAGCCAUCUUGCUGGCUCCCCCACCCCUUAUUUCUAGCCAACAUGUUCAUCUGGAAACCCGGAAGUGGCUGCAGAGGGCAGAGGAGCCCAGCAAGACAGAGUCAGCCUUCCCAGUCAGUCCACCAAGCAUGCCACCUUGGGGGCAAGAAGUCUGAGAAAUCACAUCCAGGCCUCAAGCCUUGGGGAUCCCAGGCCAUUGUUCUCUCUAUUCCUCUGCCCAGGAAGCUGCUAGUCCUGUUGGUUGGCUCCCUCUGGAGUCUUAGAAGAACCAUCAAGUCUGAGGAAGAGGGCCACUGCUUAGGCGGGGCCUGAGCCUGGGUCCCAGGAGGCAGGAAGUCCAAGGGCCAGGAGGAAGCCUGUGAUGGGAGUUGUGAGCACCCUGAGUAUGCAGAGGAUCUGUGCAGGCAGGGUGUAGCAAGUACGGCCUCUGGACCAGGCUGCCAUCAGUGGGUUGAGGUAGGAACAAGCAUGCAGGUACCAGUUCCUGCCUCUCUCCUCCUGGAGCCAAAGGGUAUGUGAAAAUCCAUCUCGUGGCUCCCAUGGGCCAGGUGCUUUGGCACUCGGUCUCCUUCUGUGUCUCCAGGCCGAAGAGAGAGUACAGAGGUUGACUGGCUGCUGGGGGUCGGGGGUUGGGGGGGCGGCGGUAGGGUUCCAGGUGUGGCUACACCCCUGAGCUCAUCUCAUGACCAAGUAUGGUACAGCUGAGGUGAUUUUUGAAGUGCUUUGGGGGAAGAUAUAAGCACCUGCUAGAUCUCUGUCUAAGCCCUUCCUAGACAGUGAGUAAUGGGAACAUAAUUAGUCUUCACCUGUGGUUGGACGGGACCCUUUGGAUCCUGCCCAGCUCUGUACCUAUACCUCACAGGAGUAGAUAGCUGGUCCGCCACAGAAAGCCUGUACCUUCCAGCACAGAGCCUCUAUGUUCCAGCUAGAUUCUCCUCCCUUCUCUGAACACUAGACAACUGAUGCAUCGUAGGAAGAUUCCCAGUAUAAGCUAGGACUUAUUUGUAUUGGGUUCUUCAUGGGGGUGGGGCACUUUGAGAUGAAGUCUUGCUGUGUAGCCCAGGCUGGCCUUUGAACUCAGAGUUCUGUGUCUGCCGGGUGCUAGGAUUACAGCUGUGAGCCACCGCACCCAGCUGGGACGUGCCAUCUUGUCUUGUCAUCCUCUGAUCCUCACAAUGGCACUUCUAUGGGUGACUGGAAUGACACAGAGGGAGGCGGUGGCUUUCACUGGGCCACAGGACUGGGAAGUACAGAGAAAGCAUGAAAGGUGGGCCACUUCCUGCAGCACCCUCUCCCUAUGCCAGCGCUCCACCAGACAGCAAGCUGGGACUGGUGUGUGAAGGCCAGCUGGGGAGAUAAAUGCAGCAUGCCAGGGGUGGAGUACAGUGGCUUCCUGCCUUCAUCCUGCAGUACCUUCGCUCUGCAAAGGAGCUCAGGCCUGACGUCUCACACAUGCAUGCUUUUUACACCCUCUUGCCCUAACCUGUCUUCAUGUUCUUCAUGCUCGGUGGCUUCCAGAAGUACCACCAUCACAUGCAUACAACUCCUUGCCUGCUUUUGUGCACGCUCCCUUUGUCUCCUAGGACACACCCAUCCCAGCCUUCCAGUCCAUGUCUGUGGCCACCUGCUCAGGAGCCUACUCUGAUGAUACCACCAGCCAAGCUGUCUACAUCACCUCCAUCCCUGAAUGCUGCCAGACUGCCUGCCUCCCUGUCAGUAUGACCAUAGAGACUGCCUGGGCAGGUCCUCAGUAGCUCAUACACUUGAAUUCUGGUCCUCACGUGAGCUGAGAAUUAGUACUAAUGGUUCCAUUUUACUGAUGAGAAAACUGAGGCAUAGGAACUCUCAGUUGCCAGUGUAACACCUCAUAGUGGAAACCACCCAGUCCCCCCACCUCUAGAGGUAGAAUAGAGGUUGCUCUAUACUGUCACCCAGUGACUUUACAAGCAGUCAAGUACAGCGGAGACGGGGACACACACGGACAGACCAGGCUCCCGUGAAGGAUUGCCCAGACGCCGUUCUUCAGGUUUAGGGAAGAAAAAUCACUGGUGUUGAACAGCAAAGGCCGGAUAAGUAUCAAGGCUCCCAGAGUGACUGGCAUCCCUGCACCUUGCAGCCUGCCUUGGCGCUCCUGCAACUGUGCUCUUUUUGAAGGAUGCACAGUCCCAGGCGCCUUGAUGAUGCUGAGCUGUUCAGUGAGUGGCUGUGGUCCUUCUCCCCUCAAUUAAAACGAGAGAGAAGAAAGGAGAGAAACCAAGACAUUGUUCUCAACUGCAGCUGGUGCCAAAUAGAACCAGGACCCAGCUGCAUAGGAUGGAGCAGGAGCCGGCCACCCAGAGGCCUGGCCUCACCCCUUCUAACAUCACUUUAAACACUGGUUCGAUUCUAGGAUGAACACAGCAGGCUUUGCUACCUACUCCCAGGAAGGUAUGCCAUCUGCAGGGGUAGAGGACUGGGACCCCGGAGGUAUGUCAAAUGGCUCUCUGCUGAGACAGUUACCCAUUUGCUCUUUGGAAAGGGUGCUCCAAGACUCUAUGGCUGUCUCCUUUUGCUCACACCCCUUUUAAGAGAUUCCCUCUUGCACCUGAACUUCAACCUUCCCAGGCCAUGGUCUAUUCUGUCCCAGGUUACUCCAGUGAUCAGCCCUGCAAGACCAACAUUCUGGUCAUUGGUCAGGGUCUACAAAGUAGCUCCUGCCAAGGUUAGCGUCUCAAGCUCCCUCCUCCCCUGGGAGUAGCACUUUUGAGUUUGUAAAGAACACUUUCUAUCCCACACAAGUGCCACCACAGCCUCAGGAGGCAGGCAGGUUGCACAACCCACUUUGAGGAAGAAGAAAAUGGCUUGGUGGUUUGGCCAGUAUCAUACAGGUGUGUGUGGGGGGAGUGGGGGGGCAUCUUGUCAAGAUCUGAAUCCUGAUAACUUGGUUCAGUGUCACCAACCCAGGUAGUAGUCAUAUUUCAAAAGAUGCCACUCCUAUCCCCAGAUGCUGCUGGGAGACAGGAUCUCAGACUCAUUCAUUCAACAAAUAUUAUUGGCUCUAAGCUGUGUCGAGCACAGAGCUAAGUGCUAGGGACCCAACAAAGAGGAGGGCAGAUGUGAUCCAUGCUGCCCCCUCACCUGACAUUCUGAUGGAGGAAACCAGUCAAACAGAUCCCAUGCAGAGACUCCUGUUCCAAGGAGCCCUGGACCUAGAGUAUUGGAGACAUAGGCUCUCUCUAUGCCCUAGGGUUGCUUCUUCCUGGCUAUGUAGACUAAGAAAGGCUUUCUUGACAUCUGUAAGCACGUAGUUUCUCCCCUGGUUUCUAGGUCCUUGCCCUAUUCCCACCUUCUAGGUCAAGUGGUUAAUGAUUUCCUGGCAUGAGUAAUUAUCCUGGUACAGUGUUUUCUUAAACCCAACUUUUCACGGGCACUUGAAGCCAGAGAGGGGCUUCUCAGGUCAUCUGACUUGAACCCCCUCACUGAGCAAGAACACCUCAGCCCCGUCCUUCCCAGGAAUUAAUUUUUGUUUUUGUUUUUUGCUUCCUGUACCUUUCUGGAGGAGAUAGAAUGCUUGCUCCUUCACAGAGCAGACCUCUGCCCAGUGGUGUGCGUGUGCUAGUAAAUGUUUAACAUCUGGCUCUCCAGACUGGGGAAAACCUGAUUCGUAGUAUCUGUUGAUUCCCUUAGUGUAAAUAGUCCUACCAUGGUGACCUGGUGCUGUCUGCUUAGCAGUUCACACACUUGGUGAAAGUUUAACUGCCGCCUUUCCUAAGCCAGUACCAGCAGGCUGCAACACAGAGUUGCCCCCAAGAGAAACCUGGUCCAACUUGCUGGAAAGUUCUUCCUGAUGUUGAGCAAAAUACUUCAUUGUCCACAUGCAGCCCUUCACACCUUGAUCUGAACCUCGUGAGAUGGGUAGAUCCUGGGCUUAGCAGAGACGGAACAGCCACCUUCCUUUUUCUGCUCUUCUCCUUCACUUCCUGUCACAAAUAUUUAUUGGGCCCUGGUGACACCGUGGUGCUAGGUACUGUGGCUACACAGACUCUAUCUGAGAUCCCCUGGUUCCACCUACCCUGCCUGUCCACCUCCCAGACCCCACUCAGACCGACUGACACCCACUCUCCCAAGCCUGUGUUGACUGCCUCCCUUUCUCUUCCUGCCUUGGGCAGCCUGCCUCCCUCUCAAGCCCUCCCAGAGCCUUUAUCGUCCCUUUUGGCACUUAUCACUUUCUACCUCGGAUUACAGCUAUUUGUGUACACGGCUUAUCUUCCUGCCAGACAGAGAGGCAGCUUGGGCUGUUGAAAGUGUGGACUUUGGAGCCAUGUGACCUGGCCUUCCAUUCCAGCCCUGCCACUGGGGAUAUGCGUUCUCUGGAGCUUACACCACCUUUGGGAACCUCAGUUUCCUUAUCUGCAAGGCAGGCCUGGUGAUAACCACUUCCAAGAUGGUUUUGGCCAUUCAGUGGGAUUAAAAUGUAACCCCCUUUUCCGGUUCCUGUCUGGACUUCCAUCCUUUUCUGGAUAGACUUUGUGCCAAUGCCUCUUCUUAGUCUCUAGUUAAUUAGACUCUAAUACUAGUAACAACAGACACAUAUAUAACAAUACAAGAUACAGGGUCUUAAUCCAAGAAUUUACAUAUGUGGAAGCCUUUCAUCCUUCAAAGCUUGGAACUAACCUAUUUCUGUCGAUAGCAGAUAGUGUGCUGGGUACAGUAGCACACACCCAUAAUCCCAGCGUUGUAGACACUGAGGCAGGAGGAACAUCAAGAAUAUGAUGCUAGCCUGGGGAACCUUUCCCCAAACAAAACAACCAAUCAAUCAAAUGGAAAGAUAAUUUAAGACCAAGGUCACACAGAUACUGGGUAAAAGUGCUGAGAUAUGAACCAGGGACAAUCUAUUUCAGAGCCCUGGCUGUUAAACUUGAUGCUGUAUGGCAGUGCAAUGAGUGUGCCUUGUGGAUUGUAGAGGCUGAGGUUUGGGGUGUCCAUAGUGUUCCCCACUUUUGCACAUCCUUAUCCCAGCCCGGAGAUAGAAGUGGAAUGAUGCAGAGAAGCCACUGAUCUGCCCUUUGGGCUUCUCAACAGGUAAAGGGAUUAGUACCCAAGAGAGGAACAUCUCCAGGCCCUUGGCUAGGGAAGAGGGAGGCCACUGAUGGAUAAGGCAAUGGGAGGAAGCUCACUGAGAGGUAUUUGUGAUGGGCCUUCACCAAAGUAGACAGAGGAGCAAAGGCCGAGUGUGUUAGUGGGGGAGCAUCAGAGGUCCGUCCAGGUAGAAGGCUGAUAUUUCUGUGCACGCCGUUGGGUAGGGGAGCAGAGACCAUGCAUUGCUCAUGGGCUUUGGAAGAGUGUAGAGCACAGAUAGCUGGCCUGACCUGGGCCAAGCUGAUACUCAGAUUCUCUGGAAGCUCCAUAGCUCUGAAUUCACUCACCUCUUACUGGGCUCAUCUUUCUGCUUCUCCGAGUCUUAGUUUCUCCUGCAGAAUAGGCAUGAGGAGUGGACCUUGGAGUCCAUUGAAGGGCGAAACAGAUGGCAUGAGGUGGGAGCUGAAACCUCAUGAGGCAAGAGAUGGGUGAAAGUACUGGGGGGAGAGAGAAGAGGCCAUAGGACCAGAGGAGCCCAGCAUGCCUGGAUUGGGGUGGCAGGUACCAGAUCUGCUUAGUCUUUCACACCUGUUUUCUGUUGCCAAAGGCUUGCCAGCUCUCUUGGUGUCUACAGGGGCAGGCAGAUCCAUGCUGGGCCCUAUUCCACCCCCCAGCUUAGGAUAGCCCGGCCAUAGUUCCUGAAGGCAGGCAUUAUAGCAUAGACUAAGGAGUCCGUGAAGAACAUUAGGCCUGUGCCUCAAGGAUACUAUGAGACCGGCUUUGCCCAGUGAGUCUGUCCAAACCACUGUCCUUACCCUUACUGGGUCUGAGGUGUGUGACAGGGCCCUAGAAUGAAGAGGGACCCUUCCCCCAGCCCAGGCAGCCUCCCAGAGCCCUUGGAGGCAUAGGGGCAUAUGUGUAUGUGUGUGUGUGGGGGGGGGUACAGUGAAGGGGUGAAUUAAUCCAGGCUCACCCUCAGGGGCUCUCUAUGAUGCUAAUCUCUUCUGCUUUUGAUCCCUGCCCUCCCCCUCCCAGUCCCAGCCCGGUCUGAGCUGAGGCCUUAGCACAAGAGCAAGGAUUAGGGCUGCCCUGGGUGAGGCCCAGCAUAUCCAUAAUGAAGCAGAAGGGUUUUACCCCUGGGCAGGAGAUCAGAGCCCAAGUCACUUGCCUGGCAUAUGCAUUGUACUCUCCUUUGCCAGAACUUCCCCGCUCUCACUUUUCCUCUCCUGGGCUGACCCUCUCUCUCCUCUCCAGAGGAGCUCGGUAGUCCCAUGUCACACAGAAGCCCAGUGCACUCUGGGGAAAGGACCAGAGGCUUUGGCCAGUAAGCAGUGGAGUUGGGCCACGAGCUCAGUUAGUGCAGACUCCAGUCCUGCCCUGUCUGUAUGAAGGGGCUUUGUUCAGGGCCACACGGAACCUCAUUUGCCCUCCUGCCUCAAAUACUCCAAAGUGGACGCAUGUUCCUGGUGCAGCCAACAUCUGGCAGCUGGACAUUCCUUGAGCAAGAAAGAUCCUGGAGGCAGCGGGACGGAGGAGGACGGCCGGCCACCGAUGGGAUUUCAAUUAGGAAAAUUAAGUGACCCACCUCCUCACCAAGAGCAAGAAUCAUAGAUGUUCUCUGCUGCCCACCCGGGACAGAAUUCCCAGACUUUGGCCUCCUCCAGCAGGCAAGAGCAGCAUGUGCCACUGCCCAGUGUAGAGGCCACAGGACAAGCCGCAGGAGUCCCUUCACAGCGUGCAUCCCAGGGAUUGACCUCAGCUCAUCAGGAUCAGGACCAGGACCACUGUUCUAUGACGUUAAAGCUCCUGAGCUGCAAGACUCUCUGUGGGACAGACAGACAACUGAGACUCAACUUAACUAGUCCUGUCCAUGUUGUGAGCCAUGGUGGGUGUCAGACCCUUAGGACAGUCCAUGUCUUAGCAGCGCCCAAGGUGGUUCCAGGACCUCGUAGACAGAUGCCAUAGGAAGCUUACAAAAGCCCGAAGCAAGACUUGGGUUCUGGAGCUUGGCAACCUGGGCCUACUGGUGUGAGAAGAAUGCACAGCUACUGCUUCUGGGAACAGCUAUGAUGGGGGCAGCUGAAGACUGAGGACUCAAAGGCUAUUAACCCCGAAGAGUCAGAGCCAAGACUCUGACCCCAGAGUCCUGGUGGCCCUUUUCUUGGUUCAACACUGUUGAGCCCAGAUGGACAGAUGGGGGAAGACAGUACAGAGAGGGGACGACACUAAGGCCUAGCUCAUGGCCACACAGCAGGUAAGAGGAGAGUUUCAAGUCUGGCAUCUACUCUGCAUACCACAGUAACCUCUAACAUCCUGGAGGGCUUUGCUACUCACUUACAGAAGAGUGACAGACAGGGCUGAUGGUGUUGAUGGUGGCCUAGCCGUGAUGGUGGCGGUCAGGGCACGGGUGAGAAUGAUGGAGACAAUGGGGACGGUGGUAGUGUUGACGGUGAUAACCAUGGCAAUGGGGAUCAUGGUUGCUAUGAUGGCCAUGGUGGUAGCCGUGGGGCGAUGAUGGUAAAGAUGAUAGCACUGAUACACACGGUUAUGCGGAUGAUGAUGAUGACCAUGGUGGUGGUGGUGGAUGAUAAUGAUGAUAAAGCAACAGUACCCUGAACAUUUACUACACUUCAAAUACUUGGCACACAUUAUCUUAAUUGAUCUUUCUUCUUUCUAAGUGUGCACAAAAUUUUGGAAGGUCCCUCUGUAGUGGGUAGCUUUGACCAGCUUUGACCUGGAAGUACUACCCCCAUUGAGGCUUCCGGUAACUGUCAUGCC